GUAUGUGUAACUUGAUUGGCAAGAGCACGAAGUUUUGAUCUUAAGGAUUCCGGGUUCGAGUCCCGGCGCGCACU